CAAUAGCGUAUAUUUAAGUUGUUGCAGUUAAAAAGCUCGUAGUUGGAUUUCGGGUGGGACGCAGCGGUCUCGCAUUGCGUUUGUACUGCUGCAGCCCUCCUUCUUGCCGGGGGCGGCCUCUCGGACUUCACUGUCUGGGGGUCAGAAUCGGCGAUGUUACUUUGAGUAAAUUAGAGUGUUCAAAGCAAGCUUACGCUCUGAAUAUAAUAGCAUGGGAUAACACGACAGGACUCUGGCCUAUCGUGUUGGUCUAUAGGACCAGAGUAAUGAUUAAGAGGGACAGUCGGGGGCGUUCGUAUUCCGUUGUCAGAGGUGAAAUUCUUGGAUUUACGGAAGACGAACAUCUGCGAAAGCAUUUGCCAAGGAUGUUUUCAUUGA
rnacentral:rRNA from 1 species